CCUACGGGUGGCAGCAGUGAGGAAUAUUGGUCAAUGGUCGGGAGACUGAACCAGCCAAGCCGCGUGAGGGAUGAAGGUACAGAGUAUCGUAAACCUCUUUUGUCAGGGAAUAAAGGCGGGGACGUGUCCCCGGAUGAGUGUACCUGAAGAAAAAGCAUCGGCUAACUCCGUGCCAGCAGCCGCGGUAAUACGGAGGAUGCGAGCGUUAUCCGGAUGUAUGGGGUUUAAAGGGUGCGCAGGUGGUGUGUUAAGUCAGCGGUCAAAGCCGGGGGCUCAACCUCGGCCCGCCGUUGAAACUGGCAGUAUUGAGUUUGAGAGAGGUAGGCGGAAUGCGUGGUGUAGCGGUGAAAUGCAUAGAUAUCGCGCAGAACGCCGAUUGCGAAGGCAGCAUGCC
rnacentral:rRNA from 1 species